CAGAUUUCAGCCUUCAGAAGAGGCCUCUGGUCUCUGAGAUCAACCCAGGGGCUAAGUAGUCUGAGAAUCUGCAUGAGCUACAAGGGAAGGCAGUGGUUCCUGCGGUGAGAAUGGCCCAAGAACAUUUUGGAGCUCUGUGCACACAGUGAAUGUGUAAUAAGUGUGACAUGGCCCAUUGUGAAGCUGGGCUUAGUGAGGUCAUGUAUUCUUUUCUAGAAGAGGGUACUGGCAUUGGAAGUUGGAGAGGUAGAAUGGUUCCUGUGCUGUGUCUGCCUUCAUAUCACGGGCAGGUCGUCCUGCCUCCUGCUUCCAGGAGCUUUGCUUCGGGUUUUCUAAAGAUGUAAACAGAGACAUUUAACUCUUCUUAACAUCCUUGCUUCUGUCAAAGCUCAUUGCUUUCCAUUAAAUCAGUUUCACAAAUAA